rnacentral:sRNA from 1 species
GCUGGAACAGUGCACUCAUGUAAAGA